GGUUGGUCCGAAUACAGUGGUGUUUACAAAUAAUUGAUCACAACCAGUUACAGAUUCCUUUGUUCCUUCUCCACUCCCACUGCUUCACUUGACCAGCCUUUA
rnacentral:Y_RNA from 1 species